GACGAACGCUGGCGGCGUGCUUAACACAUGCAAGUCGAACGGAAAGGCCCUGCUUUUGUGGGGUGCUCGAGUGGCGAACGGGUGAGUAACACGUGAGUAACCUGCUCUUGACUUUGGGAUAACUUCAGGAAACUGGGGCUACUACCGGAUAGGAGCUCAUGCUGCAUGGUGGGGGUUGGAAAGUUUCGGCGGUUGGGGAUGGACUCGCGGCUUACGAGCUUGUUGGUGGGGUAGUGGCUUACCAAGGCUUGGACGGGUAGCCGGCCUGAGAGGGUGACCGGCCACAUUGGGACUAAGGUACGGCCCAGACUCCUACGGGAGGCAGCGGUGGGGAGUAUUACACAAUGGGCGGAAGCCUGAUGCAGCGACGCCGCGUGCGGGAUGACGGCCUUCUGGUUGUAAACCGCUUUCGCCUGUGACGAAGCGUGAGUGACGGUAAUGGGUAAAGAAGCACCGGCUAACUACGUG
rnacentral:rRNA from 1 species